ACUGUUUACACGCAGCAGAAGAUG
rnacentral:siRNA from 1 species